AUGGACGGCCGGGGCUUCAAACCAGGGGGGCCAAGAAAGCCGGCCGGCGGCGGCCGGGGCGGGCGCAGAGAGGGCCGAUGUGGCGGCCGCGGGCGGGGCGGCGGCGGCCAAGGCCAGGGAGGACGAGCAGUAGCAGCAGCAGCAGCAUCUCCAUGGACGCGGCGGCGUGAUAGCUUCCAGGCACGGAUCCUCUCCUCCACCUCCAUCCUCCACCUCUCCGGUCGCCCGGUUGCAACGAUUGCUGAGAAGCGCAACCUUUUGAUCUUUGAGAACCGCAAGUUUGCUGACAUUGAAAACACAUUCAUUAUGCAAGACGAAUGGAGGGGGUUUAUAAGGGAACCAAGAGCUUUUUUUAACAGCAUGUACAAAAGGUUCAGCAAAGUGGGACUCAAGUCUGCAACCAUAAUAGAAAUUGCUGAGAAGCGCAACCUUUUGAUCUUUGAGAACCGCAAGUUUGCUGACAUUGAAAACACAUUCAUUAUGCAAGACGAAUGUUUGAGACUUGCUUCACUAUGUGUGCUGCUGAAGGGUGCUUUGGAUGGUGGUCUUGAUAUUCCGCACGGUGACAAGAGAUUUGGUGGCUUCAAGAAGGAUGAGAAGCAGCUGGACACUAAGAUUCACCACAAAUUCAUUUAUGAAGAUCAUGUUGCUGACUGCAUGAAGUUAAUAGUUGAGGAGGAGAUUGAGAAGUGCCAAUUUCACUUUAGUGGGUACAUCAAGAAGGGGAUUGCGGCUAAUGACAUGGAAGCACUGUACAAGAAGGGAAGAGCCAUGGCUGAACCAACUGGUCUUGCUGAGGCUUUGGAGAAGCUCGCUAAGAUCCUCGCGGAGUCCAACUCUGGGGCCAUCGUUCCUCGACAGGAAGUGGCUCAAAAGCUUGAAAUGUCGCCCCUGGACAUGAAGCUAGAGGGGGCAACAAAUUAUUUGAGCUGGUCCAGAAGGGCUUUGUGGGCUGUGGAGCAGAAGGAGCUUGAUGGAUAUUUGUUGGGCACCGUUGUAGAACCAAGGGACACGAGUAGUGCAGAGGGCAAGAGGUGGAAGGUCAUCCACUCUGUACUUAUGGUGUGGUUGUUGAACUCCGUGGUGCCCUCCAUUGGACGCUCUGUGGAGAGGCUAUCCUCACCUGCUGAGAUAUGGAAGAUUCUAUCCACUCAAUACUCUGGCAAGGGUAAUGUCAUGCUCAUUGCUCAGAUUGAGGACAAGAUUAGGUUGCUGCGUCAAGAUGAUGGCAUGUCAAUGAUGACAUACGUGGCAGAACUGCAGGCUCUGUGGGCUGACCAGGAUAACUGUGAUCCCUUGGAACUCUAUGAUGCGGCUUCAAUCGAGUCAGGCCAUAAGUGGAUGGCACGCAGGCGUGUGCUGAAAUUUUUGGCUGGCCUCAAAGGUUGCUUUGAUGGCAGGAAGGCUUCCCUGUUGCACCAACCUAAUCUGCCUACCAUUCCUGAGGCUAUUGCAGCGAUGACUCAAGAGGAGGUGCGCCUAUCCCUUGAGCAUGCAGACAUGAAGGUUGUGCCAGCUUCGACAUUUGCAGUCACUGAGCGCAUGGAGUGGGGAGAUCCCACCAAAUGUCAUAUCUGUGGGGAGGUAGGUCACUGGAAGAGAGAAUGUCCAACUCGUGGCAGAGGCAGGGGAUAUAACAGAGGGGGAGCAGGCAGAGGUAGAAGUGCUCGAGGCAGAGGUGGAUACUCAGAGACCUCAUGGAGCCAGGCUUCUAGAGGUAGAGGUGGCUACUCAGGACACUCAGGGGGUCAGAGGGCUCACAUGGCCGUUGCAGGAGACACUGGGACGUCCAAAGGCAAAGAUGUAGAUGCUGUUGCCUAUGGAGACUUUGCUCACUUGGCCUCCACUGAUGAAGAGCUUGACCACCUACACCCUGUGCAUGAUGGUCAAGAGGGGGAGAAGGAUGUGUCUCAUACUCACGGUGAUCCUGUGGACAUUAACACUGAUAAUGAUGUGCAGGCUCAGGUUCAACCAAUAGUGGGUACAAUUCCGACGAAUACCCUAGUGUACUCUCGGCGGCAACCACAAGUGCAGGGGGAGCAGCAAGGCGGGGAGGCAAGAGUGCAGGGGGAGCAGCAAGGCAGGGAGGCAAGAGUGCAGGGGAAGCAGCAAGGCAGUGAGGCAAGAGUGCAGGGGGAGCAGCAAGGCAGUGAGGCAAGCUCAUCUGACACAGUGGAGCUGCCCAUUGCGUUGCGAAAACCUACACGUGAAGCGGCAAGGAAGGUAUACCUCAAUUUUGAAUGUGACAUGUCAUGUAUGUACAUGCUAAAAUUGAGCUUGUUUUUGCAGUUCCAUAGGUAG
rnacentral:rRNA from 1 species